rnacentral:tRNA from 1 species
GGCUGGUUCACUCAGUUGGUUAGAAUGUAGUGCUAAUAACACAGAGGUUGCGGGUUCGAUUCCCAUAUGGGCCA